rnacentral:rRNA from 1 species
GACGAACGCGGCGGCGUGCCUAAUACAUGCAAGUCGAACGCUUCUUUCCUCCCGAGUGCUUGCACUCAAUUGGAAAGAGGAGUGGCGGACGGGUGAGUAACACGUGGGUAACCUACCCAUCAGAGGGGGAUAACACUUGGAAACAGGUGCUAAUACCGCAUAACAGUUUAUGCCGCAUGGCAUAAGAGUGAAAGGCGCUUUCGGGUGUCGCUGAUGGAUGGACCCGCGGUGCAUUAGCUAGUUGGUGAGGUAACGGCUCACCAAGGCCACGAUGCAUAGCCGACCUGAGAGGGUGAUCGGCCACACUGGGACUGAGACACGGCCCAGACUCCUACGGGAGGCAGCAGUAGGGAAUCUUCGGCAAUGGACGAAAGUCUGACCGAGCAAACGCCGCGUGAGUGAAGAAGGUUUUUCGGAUUCGUAAAACUUCUG